GUGCACUGGCGUCGUCGGAUACCUCGUGUUCGUCGCGACGUCCAACUGGCCAGGCUGAUCUGCUUUCGCCGAGAUUUCACCGCCAGGCUUAGGGGAAGGGGCGCGAUUUGCGCGGGAAACUUGCGCGCCGCCAACCUCCACUCGUGUCUGUCCCUCUUUCUCCCACUCUUUGGUUCUGCCUUUCGUUUGAUCUUUUACUCAUGGAAUCUUUUUUAUCAUCCUGGUAAAACUCGAGCAGCUACAGUAUCGUGUACGCGUUUGAGUCUGCGUAUCAAACUUCUCGAGACCAAUUUUUCACAAUGACUACGGUUACCUAUAACUUCGUAUAUGCUUUGUUGAAGCUUGAAGGAAGAAAGAUGUUGCGAAUGAACAUGCUGGACAAUUUCUAUCGUGGAAUCUAUAAACGUGGUUUUCUUUUUCACAGUGGCCAGAGUAACAUAAUGGCUUGGACUAUGAUUCCUUGAGAUUUGAAAGAAGAAACGAUUGAAAAGGAACAUGUUGGACGAUUUUUAUUAUGGAAUAGUAUGUAACUACAAGUUUCGGUGACAUGUCUUAGAUUAUGCUAUGUAUUAAUCUCGUAGAAACGUGGUUUUCUUUUUCACAGUGGCCAGAGUAACGUAAUGGCUUGGACUAUGAUUCGUUGAAAUUUGAAAGAAGAAACGAUUGGAAAGGAACAUGUUGGACGAUUUUUAUUAUGGAAUAGUAUGUAACUACAAGUUUCGGUGACAUGUCUUAGACUAUGCUAUGUAUUAAUCUCGUAGAAACGUGGUUUUCUUUUUCACAGUGGCCAGAGUAACGUAAUGGCUUGGACUAUGAUUCGUUGAAAUUUUGAAGAAGAAACGAUUGAAGAAGAACAUGUUGGACUACUCUUAUUAUGACUGUAGGCGUCAACGAUGUGUGUUAAACUGUACAUAGGAUGAAUCUUUUGGAGAUGGGUUUCCAAUAGCAACUACGGAAGUUCGUUGCGAAACGUGAGUCUAAGUUUCGAAGAACGCGGUAUAAACGUUAAAAUAUUUCAAGCUCGAAUUAUACGGUUCAAAGUCGAUGACUUUCUGUUGGCGAAUAAAUGGAGAAAAAGAUUGGAAAUUAUAGACGGACUAUCGAUUAUUGCCGAAAAUAAUCGAAAGCGAAGAAUAAGGAAGAUAAUAUUUCAAACCGGACACUAAACCAACCUUCUACGUUUGUUCGCCGUCUUCUGUAAAUGGGAAAAGUAAAGGAGAUGAAUAAACGAGCUUCGUACGAGAAAACGUGACGAGCAGACGCCAAGAUAAACGUAGAUGAUCACUCGAUAGCUUACGAGGAACGAGCAGGAUGUAUAAAAACAUGGAAUUUCUUGAAAAAACGUUUGAUCCAACAAUCAGUAACUCGAUAUGUACAGAUAUAUUUGAAGAAAUACUUGAUAACACGAAGUAAUUUAUACUUUGUUUCAACUUGAGUCCCAUCUGAUCAUAAAUUAGAAUAAUAAAUCGGAAGAAUAAAUCUUCAUAAAUCAGAAUAUAAUAUUUCUUAAUAGUCAUUCCGUACUUUGUGUUUGCAAUAUUUCGCAAAAUUAAUUUCCAUUUUUCUUAUUGUGCAACGGUUAAUUCCGGUCAUUAUUUUUAUCGAUCUUUUUCGUUUCCAAAAAUUCGAAGAAAUUUAAUCCAAAGUAUAAUUAUCGCUGUCAUAAUUUGCAAUUAAAUCAUCGAUCCAACACGAUCUAUCCUCUCGACUAUAUUUCGAAUAUUUCACAAAAUUGAUUUUCAUUCUUCUCAUUGUACGACAGUUAGCACUGAUCGAUGUUUGAUUUUCGUUUCUAGAAAUUCUAAGAAAUUCGUACGAUAAAUUGCCAUAAUUUACUCAUUCCACAGGCAUUACAACGUCAGA
rnacentral:misc_RNA from 1 species